UCAAGGCUUGUAGAAAGCACAUGGGCUGAUGACAGAAGUGACGGUAACGGAAAAUAUGAGCUGCUGAAUAGGCACGAGUUCAUUUUUAUGCUGAAAUAGGUGCUCCAUUAAGCGAUACGUGCUUGCGCGGGUGCUCCCAAUGUGAUCAAUUAAAAAAAAAAGGAAAAGAUGCCUCCAAGAAAAUCGAGGAGGUUGGAGACGGCCAGUGCAGUGGGUGAGGAGGCUGAGACACUCGAGGAGUAUGCUGAACGCGUCGACCAGCUCUGUCCAGGCAUGUCUACAGCCGAGGCCAUCCUUUGGGACCUGAACAACACCAGGAGUGUCCUGACUUCGAGGAUGAUCGAUCACAGUAUUGGUUGCACCCACAGUGACACACAAACGUGCCACAUCUUCGUCGAUCUUAAACUCUGGAAUGAGUUUCUCUGGAUCAUUCAUCUGGAACUCAAAGAAGUGGUGCCCAGAAAACUUGGCAUUGUCCACCAACUCGGCUGCAGCUGGAAAAGGGUGUCUGAGAUCCAGAGAUCUCAUGCUUUCAUCCUCCUGCAUUGGCUCCUUAAGAAUCACCACUGCAUAGAGCUGCUUGAGCUGAAAGAGACUCCUUUCGGCACGGACCUCCGCUUUAUCGGCGAUGCCCUGCAAUGCAAUGUCGGAAUCAAGAAGCUCAGGGUUUCCAACUUUGAGAUGAUCCCUAAGGCCUUUUUUACUGCUUUGGCUACUCUUUCGGGGCUUCAGAAGCUUGCACUGUGUGACGUGUCGCUGACCAGGCAUGCGGUGGCCGAGCUUCAACUGGCCAUCAAAGAGAUGCCAUCUCUAACAUCUGUCGAGCUGGAAGUGCGUAAAUUGAACCCCAGAAAUCAAUCUGGGCUGCUGGAUGCUUUGGCAGGCUCUUCUGUCGCAGAACUGCACCUUCCCGGCUGGUGUCUCGACAACAGCACGGUGUUUGCCAAGUUCCUGGCGCGCAACACCAAGCUGAAGAAGCUGACUCUUGAUUACAUAGUGAGUGAAAGGGAACGAACAAAUGAAGUGCUGGAUCUUUUUGGCGCACUGAGAACAAACAAAGUUCUAGAGAAAUUAUACCUACCUUAUUGUUUUCUUCGGCCCUCAGAAGGCAGGUUCUUGGCCCAGGUGAUGGCUGAGAACAACACCUUGAGUGUCUUGCGAGUUGGGAUCGCCUUUGGGAAUGAGCUGGACGACUUUGCGGAUCUGAUUGAACGCAAUGGCAGUUUGCGGGAACUCGAAAUCGAGGGUUCGUUUCUCAUCGACGAACUGGCAGGCUGCAUUAAAAAAAACACCACACUAAGGAAGCUGACCCUUCAAAGUGCUCGCAUAGGUGUGGAAAGGACGGAGGCCUUCCUCAAUGCUCUGGCGUGUAACGAAUCUCUCGAACUGGUUACACUGGGCAAUGUGUUCGAGCUGGUCCCUGGGGACUUCCACGAGCUGUUGGAGCAGAAAGGCCUGGAGAAGAGGGUGCACUACGACUGCUACACUUCGGAUCCUCCCAUCCACACGAGCAACAAGAGGAGUGGCACAAACCUCCAACGCGUUUAUAUUGAGCCACAACAAGACCCAGUGAUCUUGGUAGUCCACUACAUGUACUACAAGCUCGCCUCCCCAUUUCGGUUCGUCGAGGUCAGCAUCCGCCUGGACAGACUGGGCUGCACGUCGGCGAGGCUGCUGGCACGCUAUCUUUCGUCUACCAAAGUACUGGAAUCGCUGUACCUCACCUUCGACGCAAAUGAGCAUUCCAUGCCGAUCCUCCUAGGGGGACUCCGUCUCAACAAAAGCAUCUCUUCGUUGGCCUUCGAGGACUGCGAAUUUACGAACGAGGAUGCCUCUGUGCUGGGGGCUCUUGUGAAAGAGAGUAGAAGCUUGCAGGAGAUUACCCUCCUGUCGCCGGAUCACUCUACAUCUUUGGCGGUGAUUUCCGAGCUGUCGAGGUGCCUCGUCGACAAUUAUUUCUUGCUCAGCGUGAAGACCAAUGAGUACCUCGAUUUGGGCGACUACAUGUUCGAGAUCAGGGACAAGAUGCGUAGAAACGGGUCCACGCUCCUAGAUGCGGUGCAGUUUGCUAUGGGGUCUUGCACGAAGCGGCAUGCGGAAGCAUUUGAACGCCACCUCGAGAGUAAAUCGCUAGUCCAGAAGCUACAAGAGGUUACUGGAGAGACGGAGUUCGAGGUGAGGAACAGGAUCAAGACGCGUCUGCGAUACAUCAGGUACAACUUCAUGACGGUGGUGGGUGUCGUGAAAGAAAAAGUGAUUUGCAGGCAGGGUAAGCGGCAGCAGACUCUGAUAGAUCACAUCGGAUUUGACAACUUGCUGCGGGUUGUGUCGUACCUCAAAGUCCGGGACAUUGUGGACGAACCAGUGGCAGGGUGUUCGCACGUACCAGGGAGCAGGAUGCAGUUGCGCAAGAGGAAGGCCCGGCCUUGAAUUGAAAUGAAGUCGGAAGCCUCCGACUGCCUGCGUGUUAAGGUCUUGUACAACUUCCUUCAAAAUUAAAGAACAAUAUUGUGUUCAA